ACCAGACUCCGGAGGCAGCAGUGGGGAAUAUUGGACAAUGGGGGGAACCCUGAUCCAGCGACGCCGCGUGAGUGAAGAAGUAUUUCGGUAUGUAACGCUCUAUCAGCAGGGAAGAAAGAAAUGACGGUACCUGACUAAGAAGCCCCGGCUAACUACGUGCCAGCAGCCGCGGUAAUACGUAGGGGGCAAGCGUUAUCCGGAUUUACUGGGUGUAAAGGGAGCGCAGGCGGCGCGUUAAGCCUGGUGUGAAAGCCCGCGGCCCAACCGCGGGACUGCAUUGGGAACUGGCGCGCUGGAGUGCCGGAGGGGUAGGCGGAAUUCCUAGUGUAGCGGUGAAAUGCGUAGAUAUUAGGAGGAACACCAGUGGCGAAGGCGGCCUACUGGACGGUGACUGACGCUGAGGCUCGAAAGCGUGGGGAGCAAACAGGAUUAGAUACCCUCGUAC
rnacentral:rRNA from 1 species